GCCCAUUAGGAUUUCAACAGUUGAAUUUGGGGAAAACAACUCAGUCUGUAACAGCUCCUGAGCAGAAACCACAUACAAUUCUUAUCUUUGCUCCUCCAAAGUUUUUACAGAACCCCUAGGAGAUCCACAUGUUCAUUUCCCUUUAGAGAAGCAUGAACUUUAAAGUUAAGCAACCGGCACAAAGUCACCAGAAGGUAAACGCAGAAAGUGUCGAUCUGCGGGAAGAGCCCAAGGAGGGAAAUCGCAGGGAAGCAAUAUAAAAAUACUGGAAGUGAACAGACAAAGUUGAUGGUAAGUGUGCGGCCGAUGGCCACCAGGUCCCCGAGGCAAUCCCGCCUGCUCCCGUUCCAGCACCCGGCCCGCCCUGCCCGCAUCCUGGAGGCAAGACUGGACUCCUCGCACCCACAGAAGGAACGUCUGCAGGCCGAGUGGAAACAUGCCUGCAGAAGUAACAAGGGGCCGUGUCUGAGGAAGAGGCCUAGACGAGGACCCAGGAAAGACCUCGGGUGGUGAGGGAGGCAGUGGACCAGUCCACAGUUUGCAAGAGCAGCUUUGCAUGUGGGGGGCAUGAGCAUGGGAGGAAGAAUCUGGGAAACUCCAGAAACAGGCAAACCUAAAGGGUGGUAGGUGGGCGGGUCUCUCCCUGCAUGGGGGCGGGGGGUGCAAACAUCGGAGCUGGGGGCUCCUCACUUUGUGCCUCUGUCCCCUGGUGCACUUGACGUGCUGAGCAUCACCACAUCUAAAUGCCAACCACAGAUUCGAGUUCAGUGGGAACUCCAGGUUCGCAGAGGAACAAGGGAGGGUGGUGAUUAAGACGCCACCACAGGUGAUGGUGGGGCACUGAAGGGACUGACUCCCCGGACACUGGAGCAUCUGGGACAUGAAGGUAGCCCUGCCUGGCCAGAGGACCGUGUUCCGUCCCCAAAUUGUAACAGUGCAGCUGGAUAAAACAUCCACAUGCCAGGACUCCACGUGUCCCCCAGAUCAUUUGUUAGAGGAAAUAAGACGUACCAGAGCUGCGUUUCACAGCUACUUCCCUAUUAUCCUCUCUUGCUCAAGUCUUUGUAAGUUGGCUUUCAUAGAAACACAGAAUCUCCCAUUCCUUCUGCUAUAAUA